GAUGAACGCUAGCGGCAGGCCUAAUACAUGCAAGUCGAGGGGCAGCGGGAGUAGCAAUACUUGCCGGCGACCGGCGCACGGGUGCGUAACACGUAUGCAAUCUACCCACUACUGGGAGAUAGCCCGGAGAAAUCCGGAUUAAUAUCCCAUAAUAAUUUUGGACGGCAUCGUCUGGAUUUUAAAGGUUUAUCGGUAGUGGAAGAGCAUGCGACUGAUUAGCUAGUUGGUGAGGUAAUGGCUCACCAAGGCGACGCUCAGUAGGGGACCUGAGAGGGUGAUCCCCCACACUGGUACUGAGAUACGGACCAGACUCCGACGGGAGGCAGCAGUAGGGAAUAUUGGGCAAUGGACGCAAGUCUGACCCAGCCAUGCCGCGUGCAGGAAGACGGCCUUCUGGGUUGUAAACUGCUUUUGAUCGGGAACAAAGAGCCCUUGCGAGGGAAGUUGAGUGUACCGAUAGAAUAAGCACCGGCUAACUCCGUGCCAGCCGCCGCGGUAACAC
rnacentral:rRNA from 1 species